CUAAUUUUUUUAUUUUUAAUAGAGACAAGGUUUCACCAUGCUGAGUCUGUGCUGGCUUGGUCAGGCUGGCCUCAAACUCCUGACCUCAGGUGAUCCACCUGCCUCAGCCUCCCAAAGUGCUAGGAUUACAGGCUUGAGCCACCGCACCGGGCCUGUGACUGGGUCUUAACAGAAAUCCCAGCAGUGGGUCUUGCUAUUUCUUUACAAGUGAGGAUGCUUAGAUCCAAGAGGCAGACUCACUCACUCAAGAUCCUACAGCAGAGCCAGGGUCUGCACCAGGACCUUAUGACUCCAAAGCCUUUGUGUUUUCCUCUAGGCCACACUAACCCUAGGAAAGAUGAGGCCAAUUUCACCAGGUGGCCAAGGGAGGAAUGACAUUCCAGGUAGAUGGAAUGAAAGGGGCUAGUGCUUGGAGUUGAGAGGCCAGCGUAAGGGGAAAAGCCUGGCCGAAGCACUUUUUUGAGGCUUGGAGCAAGGAAGAUGUGGGUAGAUCUGAGACUUAAGAAACGAAGAAACAAUGAGAAACAGAUUCUACAGAAAGGAACCCCCUCCAGUCAUAACAAAGGAAAGUGGCAGAGUACUGGGAGGUGUCGUGGAAGAUGCUCAGCCCCCUCGCACACAACCCCCAGAGGGCUUGAGGUUGGGUACUGGGCUGGCCAAGGCACAAAAGAUUUCUUGUUGGGCUGGAAGGAGGAGAAACUAGCUCAGCGGGAAGAGCGGCCUGAUAGUCAUCAUGGAUGAGGAUGAGAAGCCAGGCUUGACCCAGGGCUGCCCAGGACAGUGCCAAUUCCACUCAGCUGCCUGGCUCUGUGUGCCCUCUCUCCUCUCUCCAGGCUCCUGGGCCUGGCCCUGCAAUGAGGGGGCUGCAAAGGGUGGGCUCCUCCUGCCCACCUGACUGGCUGGGAAAUGUGAACCUGGCACAGACUCUGCAUCCUCUUCUCUUCGUCCAGAAAGAAACCGGCCUACAAGCCUCUCCCCCAGGGCAGGCAGGCUGGGCAGCUGGGCAGAGGAAGCAGGACUCCUCUCCUACCCACCCUGUCCAGCCCCACACCCUUCCCCUCAUGCUAUUCCCAGAAACAGAGGACAGUCACUAUGCCUCAGGCAGGAUGGCCUUGUGUUCUCUUGGUGACUUCACUGUAAAGUGACUUCCCUGAAGAGUGGUGGAUAGGGGACAGCGGCAGGAACGGGCUUCACCCAAGCUCCGGCAGCUCCUUCCCUUCCCCCAGAUUUGCACAGAAGUCCUCACCCUGUGCAUAUAAACACACACCCUCCCUAGGUCCUGAUCUGUCUUCUUGGACAAGAAUGGGGGUGGCAUUUCUAUAGGGAGGUACCAGGGCCUGGCCUCAGAGGUGGGGUAUACUCUGAGCAUGGGCCCAUGGCCCCACUUCUAGAAGCCUUCUCCGGUGGGGGCUGGAGUGCAGGUAGGCUGUCCAAGCAGAGGCAAGGUGGGGGUGAAACAGGAUGUUUAAGUGCUCCAGGGCUUCUCCCCUUUGCCGCAGGGUGAAAAGAUACUUCCUAGAAAGCCUCCAGCUUUCUUGGGAAGGCCCUUCACCCCUACCCCACCUCCCCUCUGGCUCCCAUGUAACAGGAACUCUCCUUGAAGAAGGGACUUGGAGCACAGGAAACAAAGGCAUCUCUGUACCACCUCCCUCCACCCCCCAAGGAAGGUCAAGUCAAGGUGACCUCAAUCUGUUCUCCCCAGGGUAGGGGCAUGGGCAGACCUGAUCGUCAAGGGCAAGGCAGAAAGGGGACCUGGGAUAAUUCUUUCUCUCUCCCUCUUUUUUUUUUUUUCUUUUUGUGACGGAGUUUCGCUUUUGUUGCCCAGGCUGGAGUGCAACGGCGUGAUCUCAGCUAACUGCAACCUCCACCUCCCUGGUUCAAGUGAUUAUCCUGCCUCAGCGUACUGAGUAGCUGGGACUACAGGUGUGCACCACCACGCCCAGCUAAUUUUUGGAUUUUUAGUAGAGACGGGGUUUCACCAUAUUGGCCAGGCUGAUCUCGAACUCCUGACCUCAGGUGAUGCACCCGCCUCAGCCUCCCAAAGUGCUGGGACUACAGGCGUGAGCCACCAUGCCCGGCCCUUUGGGAUAAUUCUCUUAAUCCAUAAACUCAAACCCACCUUCAUGUAAGUGUGCACAGAGCACACUGUCCCAUUCAAUAGAGCAGGGGUGUAGGCUGGGCGAGAAUGGAGAUGCCAUGCUCCGCACCGCAGAAAAAUGGUGGGCUAGCCCAGCCCAGGGAGGCCUCUUCACUCCGCCGGUGUGUGCUGGGCUUGGGGAAGCUUAGAAAGGUUAUACUGAGACCCUGCCCACAAGGCCCGGCAACUUGGAUCCUGGUGCCAUCUGUGCACUUACUGGCCAGACAGCUUUGGGCAGGUUUCUUUCAUGGACUAAUCAAAGGGUGUGAUUCUGGCCCUGACUGCCUUCAAGGUUAUUGAAAGGAUCCGUUGAGUUGAAGAGCACAACCAUGUCUGUACACAAAUGUGCCUUGAUGUAGUUCAGGAUACGAAUAUAGUGUGCCAACUGAAGCCUAGGCUGCAGACUAUUAUUAUUCCUAAUAAAAUAUAGGAGGUCUUCUUUUGGAGAAUAUAUUGCUUUUUUUUUUUUCUUUUCUUUUUUUUUGAGACAGAGUCUGACUCUGUUGCCCAGGCUGGAGUGCAGUGGUAUGAUCUCGGCUCACUGCAACCUCCGCCUCCUGUGUUCAAGAGAUUCUUGUGCCUCAGCCUCCCGAGUAGCUGGGAUUACAGGUGCGUGACACCACGCCCAGCUAAUUGUUUUGUAUUUUUAGUAGACACGAGGUUUCACCAUGUUGGUCAGACUGGUCUCAAACUCCUGGCCUCAAGUGAUCCUCCCACCUCAGCCUCCCAGAGUGCUGGGAUUACAGGCGUGAGCCACUGCACCUAGCCUGGGGAAUAUAUUUCUGUAAGAUUUCUAAAAUCCUUCCUCACUCCCCAUCUAAUACUGUGACUUGGAUUUGGGGGUGAAGAGCAGUUAGGGGCAAGGAGGCCAGCCUCGGACCGCAGCUCAGUCAGACCCUUGACAGUUUCUGAUCUUCCUGAACCCCCAUCCCGUGGCCUCAGUUUUCUCCUCCACAGCCUGGUUCCCCAAAAUCACCAGGGCACUUUGUGGUGGGAAAUCACCCACACAAGGGGACAAACAAGGGGACUGAAAGCAAAAAGAAACCCCAAAUUUGACAUUUCUGGGUAGUUGUGUUAUCUGGAGCCACGACUACAGUCACCUCUUCCCAACCCAACUCUGACACCCUUCCCUCUACUCCCUUGGGUGCCCUUUGCCCAUCCUGGGAAAGUUCCAUAGCUCCUCCUCCUCCCCACUGCAUCUCAAAGGGAGAACAGGCCUGAAGAAAUGGAGAGAAACCCAGACAGAAUCAGAGAACCAGAUGGAGACCUAAGGAGACAAGGGAGAGACACAGAGAGAAUAAAAGCCAGAGUGGGGGCCGGGCAUGGUAGCUGAUGCCUGUAAUUCCAGCACUUUGGGAGGCCGAGGCGGGUGGAUCACCUGAGGUCGGGAGUUCGAGACCAGCCUGACCAACAUGGAGAAACACCGCCUCUACUAAAAAUACAAAAUUAGAAAUACAAAAUUAGCCAGGAGUGGUGGCACAUGCCUGUAAU
rnacentral:lncRNA from 10 species